UACGUAGGGUGCAAGCGUUAAUCGGAAUUACUGGGCGUAAAGCGUGCGCAGGCGGUGAUGUAAGACAGAUGCGAAAUCCCCGGGCUCAACCUGGGAACUGCAUUUGUGACUGUAGAGCUGGAGUGCGGCAGAGGGGGAUGGAAUUCCGCGUGUAGCAGUGAAAUGCGUAGAUAUCGGGAGGAACAUCGAUGGCGAAGGCAAUCACCUGGGCCUGAACUGACACUGUGACACGAAAGCGUGGGUAGCAAACAGG
rnacentral:rRNA from 1 species